CUUUUUUGUUUUGGUGAGUGGACCAGGAGGAGUUUUCAGAGGAGUCUGUGAUAGGCGCUUUGUGACUCCAGGACACGUUGAGAUUAUUUUGCCCUUCUGCCUUCUUCCAUGGGAAAUACAGCAAGAAAGCCCUCGCCACAUGCAGCCCCUCCAUGUUGGACUUCCCAGUCUUCAGAACCAUGAGCCAAAUAAACUUCUAUUGUUUAUAAAUUACUAAGUCUCAGGCAUCUUGUUACAGGAGCACAAAAUGGACUAAGACAUUUAGUAAUGUGAAAUGCAUUGAAGUAUGCUUUGUACAUGAUAAGCACUGAUUAAAUAUUAAAGAUCCUUAUUAGUAUCUUGCAUUGUUACCUCUCUUAUAAUAAUUUAAAAGUUAUAAAACCAAAAGCCUUCGAACUGUAAAAAGAGACUUUGAGGUCUUCAUUUCACUAAUAAUAAAAGUGAAGUCCAAAAAGAUUAAAAAACUUUCUCAGGGCAACACAGCAACUUAAUGACAGGUGAGAAACAUGACCCUGUUUUCUGACCAGUGUUUUAAGGCUUUCACUGUUCUAGUCACUGAUAAUUUGUGGUGACCAACACUGAAAUCAGUGAUUCAUUUCACAGAUAAAAUAUAAAUUAAAAGUUCAUAAGCCUAUGAAUUGGUAGACUAAAAACC
rnacentral:lncRNA from 10 species